rnacentral:rRNA from 1 species
AGAGUUUGAUCCUGGCUCAGGAUGAACGCUGGCGGCGUGCUUAACACAUGCAAGUCGAACGAAUUUCACGGGGAACCCGGUUUCGGCCGGGGGAAUCGUGAAGUGAGUGGCGGACGGGUGAGUAACGCGUGGGUAACCUGCCUUACACCGGGGGAUAACAGAGGGAAACUUCUGCUAAUACCGCAUAAGACCACACUUCCGCAUGGAAGAGGGGUAAAAGUUCCGGCGGUGUAAGAUGGACCCGCGUCUGAUUAGCCAGUUGGCGGGGUAACGGCCCACCAAAGCGACGAUCAGUAGCCGACCUGAGAGGGUGAUCGGCCACAUUGGGACUGAGACACGGCCCAAACUCCUACGGGAGGCAGCAGUGGGGAAUAUUGGGCAAUGGGCGCAAGCCUGACCCAGCGACGCCGCGUGAGUGAAGAAGUAUUUCGGUAUGUAAAGCUCUUUAAGCAGGGAAGAUAAUGACGGUACCUGCAGAAUAAGCACCGGCUAAAUACGUGCC